UACGGGGGGGGCAAGCGUUGUUCGGAAUUACUGGGCGUAAAGGGCUCGUAGGUGGCCAACUAAGUCAGACGUGAAAUCCCUCGGCUUAACCGGGGAACUGCGUCUGAUACUGGAUGGCUUGAGGUUGGGAGAGGGAUGCGGAAUUCCAGGUGUAGCGGUGAAAUGCGUAGAUAUCUGGAGGAACACCGGUGGCGAAGGCGGCAUCCUGGACCGAUACUGACGCUGAGGAGCGAAAGCCAGGGGAGCAAACGGG
rnacentral:rRNA from 1 species